UGGGGAUUAGCCAAGCGGUAAGGCAACGGACUUUGACUCCGUCACUCAUAGGUUCGAAUCCUAUAUCCCCAGCCA
rnacentral:tRNA from 16 species